UAGGGAAUCUUCCGCAAUGGACGCAAGUCUGACGGAGCAACGCCGCGUGAGUGAAGAAGGAUUUCGGUUCGUAAAACUCUGUUGUUAGAGAAGAACAGCGCAUAGAGUAACUGUUAUGCGUGUGACGGUAUCUAACCAGAAAGCCACGGCUAACUACGUGCCAGCAGCCGCGGUAAUACGUAGGUGGCAUGCGUUGUCCGGAUUUAUUGGGCGUAAAGCGAGCGCAGGCGGUCAAUUAAGUCUGAUGUGAAAGCCCCCGGCUCAACCGGGGAGGGUCAUUGGAAACUGGUUGACUUGAGUGCAGAAGAGGAGAGUGGAAUUCCAUGUGUAGCGGUGAAAUGCGUAGAUAUAUGGAGGAACACCAGUGGCGAAGGCGACUCUCUGGUCUGUAACUGACGCUGAGGCUCGAAAGCGUGGGUAGCAAACAGG
rnacentral:rRNA from 1 species